CCUACGGGCGGCAGCAGUGGGGAAUAUUGCACAAUGGGGGGAACCCUGAUGCAGCGACGCCGCGUGAGUGAAGAAGUAUUUCGGUACGUAAAGCCCUAUCAGCAGGGAAGAAGAUGACGGUACCUGACUAAGAAGCCCCGGCUAACUACGUGCCAGCAGCCGCGGUAAUACGUAGGGGGCAAGCGUUAUCCGGAUUUACUGGGUGUAAAGGGGGCGUAGACGGCAGGGCAAGUCUGGAGUGAAAGCCCGGGGCCCAACCCCGGGACUGCUUUGGAAACUGCCAUGCUAGAGUGCUGGAGAGGUAAGCGGAAUUCCGAGUGUAGCGGUGAAAUGCGUAGAUAUUAGGAGGAACACCAGUGGCGAAGGCGGCUUACUGGACAGUAACUGACGUUGAGGCUCGAAAGCGUGGGGAGCAAACAGGAUUAGAUACCCCUGUAGUC
rnacentral:rRNA from 1 species